ensembl:lncRNA
UUCACCUGGAACCCUGACAAGAAUUAAAACACAUCAUGAAGAGCAUGGCAGUAUUUGCCCUUCUAGCCUUCCUGUCAGUGGAUGCGGCACCCACAAAAGGCACCAUGAGACUUUUCCUCAGGCAAAUUAUCGAUGAAGCACGAAAUCUAAAAAAACCUGAGAUGAUAAAGUACGUUGACAGUGGGUUUGAUCAUUUAAACUGUGAGUGUAAAGACUUCGGCAUCGCUGCCAAGAUCCUCCGUCCCAUACUACCUGAACACCACAAACUACCAAGGGCACUAGAUGUUUAUACUAAGAGGAACCAAGACUAUCCCUACACCUCAGGACACCAGUAUCAUCUGAAGACGCUUGCGGAGUAUAUCAUUAGAUGUGCCCAGGUCCAUAUGGCUCAUGUCCACAAACAGUGUGGUCAUCACACCACUGGGCACUGAACCUGCUAACCAUGCUGACAGCAAGCUACAUGCUUAUUUGCAAUAUUUAUUUAUUCAUAUAUAUAUUUAUUCAUUUGUAUUUAUUAACUUAUUUAUUUAGAUAUUGACUGACUUUUGACAAUUGUGUUUUAAAAAAAGUGAC